GACGAAGGUGGCGAGCGUUGUUCGGAAUCACUGGGCAUAAAGCGCACGUAGGCGGCGGCGUAAGUCGGGUGUGAAAUCCCUCGGCCCAACCGAGGAACUGCGCCCGAUACUGCGUUGCUUGAGGACUGGAGAGGAGACUGGAAUUUACGGUGUAGCGGUGAAAUGCGUAGAUAUCGUAAGGAAGACCAGUGGCGAAGGCGGGUCUCUGGACAGUUCCUGACGCUGAGGCACGAAGGUCAGGGGAGCAAACGGG
rnacentral:rRNA from 1 species